ACGGGUGCGUAACACGUGAGCAAUCUGCCGGGAAGUGGGGGAUAGCUCGCCGAAAGGCGAAUUAAUACCGCAUGUGGCCAGGAAGGACAUCCUUCUGAAGCCAAAGUCGCAAGACGCUUCCUGAUGAGCUCGCGGCCUAUCAGCUUGUUGGUGAGGUAACGGCUCACCAAGGCUAUGACGGGUAGCUGGUCUGAGAGGACGACCAGUCACACUGGAACUGAGACACGGUCCAGACACCUACGGGUGGCAGCAGUCGAGAAUUUUUCACAAUGGGGGAAACCCUGAUGGAGCGACGCCGCGUGGAGGACGAAGGUCUUCGGAUUGUAAACUCCUGUCAUGCGGGAACAAGAAAGUGAUAGUACCGCAAGAGGAAGAGACGGCUAACUCUGUGCCAGCAGCCGCGGUAAUACAGAGGUCUCAAGCGUUGUUCGGAUUCAUUGGGCGUAAAGGGUGCGCAGGCGGCGUGGAAAGUUGAGUGUGAAAUCCCGGGGCUUAACCCCGGAACUGCACUCAAUACUCCCAUGCUAGAGGAAUGUAGAGGAGAGUGGAAUUCACGGUGUAGCAGUGAAAUGCGUAGA
rnacentral:rRNA from 1 species